rnacentral:rRNA from 1 species
GGGGAAUAUUGGGCAAUGGAGGAAACUCUGACCCAGCAACGCCGCGUGGAGGAAGAAGGUUUUCGGAUCGUAAACUCCUGUCCUUGGAGACGAGUAGAAGACGGUAUCCAAGGAGGAAGCCCCGGCUAACUACGUGCCAGCAGCCGCGGUAAUACGUAGGGGGCAAGCGUUGUCCGGAAUAAUUGGGCGUAAAGGGCGCGUAGGCGGCUCGGUAAGUCUGGAGUGAAAGUCCUGCUUUUAAGGUGGGAAUUGCUUUGGAUACUGUCGGGCUUGAGUGCAGGAGAGGUUAGUGGAAUUCCCAGUGUAGCGGUGAAAUGCGUAGAGAUUGGGAGGAACACCAGUGGCGAAGGCGACUAACUGGACUGUAACUGACGCUGAGGCGCGAAAGUGUGGGGAGCAAACAGGAUUAGAUACCCUGGUAGUCCACACUGUAAACGAUGAAUGUCUAGGUGUAGGGGGUA